rnacentral:tRNA from 1 species
GGGCGAUUGGCUCAGUUGGUUAGAGCGCCACAUUCACAUUGUGGAGGUCAAAGGUUCGAAUCCUUUAUCGCCCA